CAGUCGCCGCGGUAAAACGAAGGGUGCAAGCGUUAAUCGGAAUUACUGGGCGUAAAGCGUGCGUAGGCGGUGAGUUAAGUCUGCUGUGAAAUCCCCGGGCUCAACCUGGGAAUGGCAGUGGAUACUGGCUCGCUAGAGUGUGUCAGAGGAUGGUGGAAUUCCCGGUGUAGCGGUGAAAUGCGUAGAGAUCGGGAGGAACAUCGGUGGCGAAGGCGGCCAUCUGGGACAACACUGACGCUGAGGCACGAAAGCGUGGGGAGCAAACAGGAUUAGAUACCCGCGUAGUCCCUGUCUCUUAUAC
rnacentral:rRNA from 1 species